rnacentral:hammerhead_ribozyme from 1 species
AUCCAACUGAUGAGUCGCGAGUAGGACGAAACGCGCAUCUUGGAU